AUUGAACGCUGGCGGCAGGCUUAACACAUGCAAGUCGAGCGAGUGGCGGACGGGUGAGUAAUGUCUGGGAAACUGCCUGAUGGAGGGGGAUAACUACUGGAAACGGUAGCUAAUACCGCAUACCAUCGGAUGUGCCCAGAUGGGAUUAGCUAGUAGGUGGGGUAAAGGCUCACCUAGGCGACGAUCCCUCGCUGGUCUGAGAGGAUGACCAGCCAAACUGGAAGUGAGACACGGUCCAGACUCCUACGUUAGGCAGCAGUGGGGAAUAUUGCACAGUGGGCGCGAGCCUGAUGCAGCCGUGGGGCGUGUAUGAAGAAGGCCUUCUGGUUGUAAAGUACUUUCAGCGGGGAGGCGUUACCCGCAGAAGAAGCACCGGCUAACUCCGUGCCAGCAGCCGCGGUAAUUC
rnacentral:rRNA from 1 species